GGCGAACGCUGGCGGCGUGCUUAACACAUGCAAGUCGAACGAUGAAGCCGGAGCUUGCUCUGGUGAAUUAGUGGCGAACGGGUGAGUAACACGUGAGUAACCUGCCCUUGACUCUGGGAUAACUGCUAGAAAUGGUAGCUAAUACCGGAUACGACCCUCGGCGGCAUCGCCAGGGGGUGGAAAGAAUUUCGGUCAAGGAUGGACUCGCGGCCUAUCAGCUAGUUGGUGAGGUAACGGCUCACCAAGGCGACGACGGGUAGCCGGCCUGAGAGGGUGACCGGCCACACUGGGACUGAGACACGGCCCAGACUCCUACGGGAGGCAGCAGUGGGGAAUAUUGCACAAUGGGCGACAGCCUGACGCAGCAACGCCGCGUGCGGGAUGACGGCCUUCGGGUUGUAAACCGCUUUCAGCAGGGAAGAAGCCGCAAGGUGACGGUACCUGCAGAAGAAGCACCGGCUAACUACGUGCCAGCCGCCGCCGUAA
rnacentral:rRNA from 1 species